UACGGAGGGUGCAAGCGUUAAUCGGAAUUACUGGGCGUAAAGCGCGCGUAGGCGGCCGGUUAAGUCAGAUGUGAAAGCCCUGGGCUCAACCUGGGAACUGCAUUUGAUACUGGCUGGCUUGAGUCUGGUAGAGGGGGGUGGAAUUCCAGGUGUAGCGGUGAAAUGCGUAGAUAUCUGGAGGAACACCCGUGGCGAAGGCGGCCCCCUGGACCAAGACUGACGCUGAGGUGCGAAAGCGUGGGGAGCAAACAGG
rnacentral:rRNA from 1 species